rnacentral:lncRNA from 1 species
AACUCGUGUUGUACAGUAUGUUCUGCAAUUCUUCUCAUCUGUAUCUCCUUGUGCUGUGCGCAGAUAAAGAAGUAGGAAACUACAGGACCCACAAUCCCCUGCUCAGGACACGCUCACACGGGCCACUGAUGUGGGGGAGGAACAGCUACCCCCCUGCACACCCAUUUAGACCAGUGAAGAACCGGAGGAGGCGGCUUGAAGGAGGAGCGGCACCGGGGGAAUAAGGGCACGGCACACAAACAGAACAACCAGCUGACAAACACACUCCGACAGGGAGCCCUCAGCCUCGGCCCAAACACACUCACUCCACAGCGCUCCACAUUGUUCCCCAGUGUUCCACUGCACUCAGACUGAGAAGAACAGUGUUCUAAAUAUUUGGAGGCUUAAAUGACUCUUAGGAUCAGUGAAAACUAUAUAGAACCGUGAGAACUAUGAGAAGACUCAUUUGGAUACUUGAAUUAUGCUUUUGCUGUUCUUUAGACUGGUGAAAAAUAAACUUUUGUUAAUGGUUCA